GAUGAAGAACGUAGCGAAAUGCGAUAAGUAAUGUGAAUUGCAGAAUUCAGUGAAUCAUCGAAUCUUUGAACGCACAUUGCGCCCCCUGGUAUUCCGGGGGGCAUGCCUGUCCGAGCGUCAUUACAACCCUCAAGCUCAGCUUGGUGUUGGGCCCCGCCGCCCCGGCGGGCCCUAAAGUCAGUGGCGGUGCCGUCCGGCUCCGAGCGUAGUAAUUCUUCUCGCUCUGGAGGUCCGGUCGUGUGCUCGCCAGCAACCCCCAAUUUUUUUCAGGUUGACCGCGGAUCAGGUAGGGAUACCCGCUGAACUUAAGCAUAUCAAUAAGCGGAGGA
rnacentral:misc_RNA from 1 species